UGGAAACGCCUCUAGCCCGCGCUUACAUAUGAUUGGUUAGAUACGACAAAUAAAAAGUUUCUAUUGGGUGCGGUCCCUAUCAAUCACUCGGAAGACCAUGGAAGCAAAGGGGCCUUGGGUUGCCGGGGGAAUGAGAAUGCUAAAUUGCUGUUUCAAAGAUGAGGACGAUUUAUGAUUUCUCACUCGAGUUCAUGGGAAAAAGAAUCAUAAGAAAAUUACUUAUUAACAAGCACGGUAUUUUCUGCUUUACCUACGUAGGAGGAGUUUUUUGUUUUUGUUUUUGUUUUGUAUCCUACAUCCACUUUAAAAUAGAAAAAGCAAAGAGCAACUUUACAAACGGUUACAAUUUUCCAUCAUCACUUGACUGCUGACAAGAAGCCUCCUUGAAUUCCAGUAUACACAAUCCCAUUUUAAAACCUUCAAGACACUGUUUAAUCAGGAGUUGUAAGGCACAUUUGUUAGAGAAAGCUGCACUUUAAAAAGUAUACGGACAUCACCUGAAGUUAUUAAAGUUAUCAAAACAUAUAAAAACCUUCAAGUAAGAUGUAUGCAAAUUAGCAGCAUUUAACUAAAACUAAUAUAUUAAUUAGCAUAUUUCAGUAUCACUUUUGUAAUAGGGAAAGAAAAUGGCAAAACAUUUUCAUUGUGUUCAUCACACACACACACAAAUAGAAAACUUGAAUAUCCUCAGAAGCCUGGCGAAGAUAAUCAUGAAGAAAGGAACUGCAAAGGCUUCUGACGUGACGCCAUGGAUGAAGGACUGCAGCGAGCUGGGGAAGGUGCUCACCGUCUUGGGGAUGACCUCCCAGGUGGUGUUGAAGUUGGUGAAUGGCCC